CCCUUAGAUGUCCGGGGCUGCACGCGCGCUACACUGAAGGAAUCAGCGUGCUAAAACCAUUGUCGAAAGGCAUUGGUAAACCCAUUAAAAUCCUACGUGAUUGGGAUCGGGAAUUGCAAUUAUUUCCCUUGAACGAGGAAUUCCCAGUAAGUGUGGGUCAUAAGCUCGCGUUGAUUACGUCCCUGCCCUUUGUACACACCGCCCGUCGCUGCCCGGGACUGAGCCGUUUCGAGAAAAGCGGGGACUGCUGCUGUCGGGGCUUUCGGUCCUUGGCUUCGGUGGAAACCGCUUUAAUCGCAGUGGCUUGAACCGGGCAAAAGUCGUAACA
rnacentral:rRNA from 1 species